rnacentral:rRNA from 1 species
GACGAACGCUGGCGGCGUGCCUAAUACAUGCAAGUAGAACGCUGAAGGAGGAGCUUGCUCUUCUGGAUGAGUUGCGAACGGGUGAGUAACGCGUAGGUAACCUGCCUGGUAGCGGGGGAUAACUAUUGGAAACGAUAGCUAAUACCGCAUAACAGUAGAUGUUGCAUGACAUUUGCUUAAAAGGUGCAAUUGCACCACUACCAGAUGGACCUGCGUUGUAUUAGCUAGUUGGUGGGGUAACGGCUCACCAAGGCGACGAUACAUAGCCGACCUGAGAGGGUGAUCGGCCGCACUGGGACUGGGACACGGCCCAGACUCCUACGGGAGGCAGCAGUAGGGAAUCUUCGGCAAUGGACGGAAGUCUGACCGAGCAACGCCGCGUGAGUGAAGAAGGUUUUCGGAUCGUAAAGCUCUGUUGUAAGAGAAGAACGAGUGUGAGAGUGGAAAGUUCACACUGUGACGGUAUCUGACCAGAAAGGGACGGCUAACUACGUG